ensembl:lncRNA
GGGGGGCACCCCUGAAAUUCGCCCUGGAGGAGUGGCCUCACCCUAACCCAUGCCUAAUGAUAAGGCCCACCUCUUACGGCCUUCGGCCGUCGAGUGAAAUAAAUGUUGGAGGUAAUGCGCCUAAAGCCCUCAGCCCUCAGCUCUCCGCCGAAGUUGGGUUAGGAAGGAGGAAGGGAGAGGUAAAUGCUGACCCCGCAGGCGGCAGUCUGUGCCUCGGAGAGAAACUUUAUCGCAACCUUGCCGGGGGCCUUGACGCCCGUCCUCCCGCAAGAGCACCCCGGCAGUCACCCGUGCCCUCUGGUGUCCUGCCACCCCGAGCCCGACCUUCCCCCUUUACCCCCGCGCGGGGCCAGUAACCUCCUAACUGCGUCUUCUCUGUUUCGGGCUGUCGUGCUCAUCACGUUUGCGUCGUUUCUUCGCUCCACAAACGUUUACUGAGCGCCUUCCACACGCCAGGCACCAGACUAGCGCCGGCAAACGGGGAUAAGUACUGGGGAGGGGUCCCAGCCCUCAGUGAUGGGAUUUCAGAGGGGGAGAUAAAGGAUUGCCCAGAAGGGUGGUGAGUGGAAUAGUUGAUAUAAACAACGGGGGUGCGACGAAAUACAUAGGAGGGCUGCUCGUCACGUAUGGGGUGAGUGCCCAGGGCCCUUAAUUAAGGGAGGCUUCCUGGACGGGUGACACCCAAGCGGAGUCCUGACAACCUGCGUCAGGAGUAGCCAGGCGAGGAGGAGGUGAAAGGAAUCCACGUCCCGAGCAGAGAGGCAGCUUUCCCUGCACAGCACAGGACACGGUCCGUGCACAGAAGCCACAGGAGACGCAGGCACAGGGGUUGGGAGAAUCCUUGCCGGGCCCUCGCCAUCCACGCGCCGCCUCCCUCUGCCGGGUGUCUGGUGUCAGCCUCCCGCCCGGCAGAGGAACUCCAGCCCCUGCUCCCGGAAGCGCCUCCAGGCCUUCGGCUUCCCUGACUCGGAAUGGGCCCCUCGUCCGGCGGGUACGAGGCCGGUCUCCCCGCCCGCUGGUGACGAAGUAAAGGCCCGGCGCCGCCCGGGCUCCUGCCCUGGGACCUCGUCUUUCUCCAGGAAAAGGUGGACCGCUCUCCGCCGAGCGGUCUCUUCCACAGACCCCUCUCGCCUUCGCCCCCAGUCUCCUUCGGUUCUGUCUUCGCGCUGGCUGGGUAGAAACC